rnacentral:tRNA from 1 species
GGCGGAAUGGCAGACGCGCCGUCCUCAGGCGGCCGUGGGGGCAACCCCGUGGAGGUUCGAGUCCUCUCAUCC